rnacentral:sRNA from 2 species
GCCCCACUCCGAGGGGAGUAGUCUCCCGCGCAGCGCGCGGGGCAUCCGUCAACAGACUUGGCGAUCGCCAUGGCGGAUGCGGCCCGACGGGCU